CGUGCAAGUGGCGUGAAGCAAGGGCCGAUUCGGUACGAUUAAGUUGCGAGUUAAUCACCGACGAAUCGGAUCCUAGACAAUCCUCUUCCAGCGACACUACGCUUCAUCCGACCCUCAGAAGAGCCCCAUUGACUGCAUCACAUAACUCAAACCCAACAAAAUGUCAGCAGAAGACGGAUUCAUCGUCAGAGCCAGGGGACUCCCCUGGGCAGCUACUGCUGAUGAUAUCAUCACAUUCUUCAGUGACUCCGAGAUUGAGGGAGGUGCUGAUGGUAUCAAGUUUGUCCAUCUCCCCGGAGGGCGCCCUUCAGGAGAAUGCUUUGUCAUUUUCAAGACUGCCGAGGAUGUUCUCAAGGCCCUGAAGAAGAACAACAAUCACAUCGGUCGUAGAUACAUCGAAGUGUACAGAUCCAAAGUCAGCGAAAUGGAAUGGGUAACGUCAAGAGGCGGAGAAAAGGCACAGGAGGAGAAUGACGGCUGUGUCCGACUUCGUGGUCUCCCUUUUGAUUGCAGACCCAAUGACAUUGUGGAAUUCUUCAAAGGAUACCAGAUUUCGGAAGAUGGGAUUACAUUACCAACGGAUUUCGAUGGGAGGAGCACGGGGGAAGCGUAUGUACAGUUCGUCUCAAAGGAAGUUGCUACGGGGGCAUUGUCUAAGCACAAGUGUGAUAUGGGACACAGGUACAUUGAGGUAUUUCAGUGCAACGCGUCGGAAGCGAAACACGCAAGUAAUAACCCGGGCAGAGCUCGCGGAGGAAUGAACCGUCCCGGACCAUACGAUCGUGUUGGCCCCAUGGGGUCAGGCCGAAGGGGAAUGAGGAAUUCAGGAUUUGACAGAAGGUCUGGUGGAUAUGGCGGAUAUGGCUAUGACGAAGACUACAGCUUUGGCAGUGGGUACGGAUACGGAGGAGGAAGAGGAGGAGGAGGAGGUGGUGGUGGUGGUAGUGGAUAUAGUGGGCGUGGCAUCUCCGGACCAGGUAGAGGGGGAUGGGGAGGUGGACCUCAGCCGCUUCUGCCAAGAGGAGGAGACUUCUCCAAGCGUGGUUACGGAGGCAUGGGCGGUGGCAUGGGAGGUAGCAUGGGCGGCGGCAUGGGCAGUGGCAUGGGCGGCGGCAUGGGCGGUGGCAUGGGCGGCGGUAUGGGCGGCGGCAUGGACUAUGGUGGUGGCGGUGGAGCCGGUGCUGGUGGUGACUAUGUAUCGAAGUCUGGUUACUCCGUCCACAUGAGAGGACUCCCAUACAAAGCAACAGAGGACGACAUCAUCCAGUUCUUUGGACAAGUUGCUACCCCCUGCAAUGUUGUCAUCCAUAAGGUCAACAACCGUUCCACAGGUGAAGCCGAUGUGGAAUUCCAGACCCUUGAAGCCGCCAAGGCCGCCAUGUCCAAGGACAAACAGGAGAUUGGACCUCGUUACAUCGAGCUGUUCCUCAACAACGAUGAGAGCGCCGGCGGUGGCGGAGCUGGAGGAUAUGGCAGUGGCCAGGGAAACUCUGGAGGUUACUCAGGAGGUGGCUACGGAGGCGGUGUCGGUGGGGGCUACAGUAGCAGCUCUCUAGGAGGAUCUGGUUUGGGUGGCGGUUACAGCAGUUUUGGGAAUGGCAACAGCAGUGGAUAUAGCAACACAGGGAUGAGUGGUGGAAGCACAGGAAACAGUGGAUUCUAUGGAUCAGGAUCUAGCAGCGGUACUGGAAUGGGCCUUGGAAUGAACAGGGGAGGAAAUAGCUUCUAUUAAAUCUAUUUGUGUUCUCCAAGUUGAUCAGCUUCAGUGACACUAUCAUGUACGCCAAAGGUCACCAAAGGCCACCCAUUUGUUCCGCUAGACUUUCUCAAUCACCCCUCUACCAAGGAUGAAGACGUUCUGUGCCAUUUCGUCUUGGGUUUCUUGUUUUGACGUCCUUGACUCUUUCGAUUGUAUUGUCUUUUUAAACUCCCUUGUGUGUCUGUCUUUUCUGCUGAACUAUGUUACGAGGUAUUGUGCAUUGGUCAACUGGGUCGCAUUAUGAUGUGCAUUUUGUAUGAAUGUUCUUUAGGGGUGUAGUCCAGGCUGGUAGUUCAGAGUGUCAAGGCCACCGGGGAAAACGUUUUUCCAUAGAUUUCAUGCAUGUCACUUGGGCUGAGGCCAAGGCCGUCAAUAUUUGGCAUGAGGCCGGCCUGGACUACAUCCCUGAUGUUUAUACACGUAAUCUCAAUCAAUACAUUUAUUUUUUUGAUAAAUUUUAAUUUUAACUAAUUUCUGAACACAUGAAUUCUUCUGGAUAUAUUCAUCUGUUGAUGUGGUACAGCAUUAGAAAAUCUUUACUAGUAUGGAAUAAUAGCUGACCCUUGUUGACAGAUAAUAAUUCCAAAAUAAAUGUAUUAGUAUGAAUAAAGGGAUGUGUUUGUCAUUAUUGUUUGUGAAGAAACCCGGCUAUGUAACAAUACACGUUGUUUUGGACUGUAAAUCUGGAUUUCACUUUUAAAUAUUUUUAUGUAGAAUUUUUGUAAAUGUUUGUUUUCCCAUGGACCAAGUGAUAAUUUUGUCUUUGUGAUUUUACUGCUAACUGCAUUUGCACAAAAGCCAUUUGCAGACCUGCCCAUUUUAAGCCUGUUUUAUACUUUUAAUGCUUACUUCCAUUUCGGGGGGAAAAACUUUAAAAGUCCAGUUUCGUUAUUUUCUAAUUGUUAGUACUGUAUGUUACGAUCCUUGGGAAGUUAUGAUUAUUUUCCCUGUCCCAGCUUAGCUUUCAUACAUUAGGGCUUGUUCAUAAAUUUCUCCCCAUAUCUGUCACGACUAUAAAAUGCUCAUGAUGUGACAGACCUUCAUAUUUAUAUUUAUAAUGUGUGGUGGAUAUGAGCCAACUCUCUUUCCCUUUCCAUUAAUAAUCACAUGAACUACUAAUGAUGUGAUAUUUAGUACUAAAUUAAAAUCUCCUAGGUAUUUGAUUAGUUCACAAUUAUUUGUCACCAGAUGCAAGAAAGGUCUCAUCUGCAUAAUUAGUUUUGUGCCAAUGCAUAUUCAUGGACAUGUACAAAAAAUGGAGGUGUCUUGCAAAAGGUUGUUCUCCCCCAGUGUUUGGUAUUUCAAAGAAAUUGUCAUGCCCCAUAUGAUGUAUAUAUUGCAUUUUGAUCAUGGAUUUUAGGAUUUCUGUUCUUUUUCAUGGUGUGAUCAGUGAGUUAAAAGUUCAAUCACUUGUCAAAAAGUAUUAAUGGUUUUACUUCAAAUGAUACACCAUUUGGAAGCAAGUCGAGUCAAUGUGAAGUGUUUAUUAUGAGAAGAAUAGAUUAAAGUGAUUUACACAUGUA